AAACAUGUCUUUUUGAUAAUAAUUUAAAGUCUAAUCUGCCCACUGAUUUAAAUAUUAAAGGGCUGCAGUAUAUUGACUGUACAAAGGUAGCAUAAUCAUUAGUCUUUUAAUUGGAGACUUGUAUGAAAGAUUUGAUGAGAUAUAAACUGUCUCUGAUUUAUUAUUAGAAAUUAAUUUUUUAGUUAAAAAGCUAAAAUAAUAUUAAAAGACGAGAAGACCCUAUAGAGUUUUAUAUUUUAUUUAUUUAAUAUUUAAUAUAUAAUUAAAUUAUAUUAAAUAAAUAAAAUAUUGUAUUGGGGUGAUAAAAAAAUUUAAUAAACUUUUUUUUAAAAAUGAACAUAAAUAAGUGAUUAAUUGAUCCAUUAAUAAUGAUUAAAAGAAAAAAUUACCUUAGGGAUAACAGCGUAAUGUUUUUUUUUAGUACAAAUAAGAAAAAAAGUUUGCGACCUCGAUGUUGGAUUAAGAUAAAAUUUAAAUGCAAAAGUUUAAAAUUUUGAUCUGUUCGAUCAUUAAAAUCUUACAUGAUCU
rnacentral:rRNA from 1 species